rnacentral:rRNA from 1 species
AGAGUGAACGCUGGCGGUAGGCCUAACACAUGCAAGUCGAACGGCAGCACAGGAGAGCUUGCUCUCUGGGUGGCGAGUGGCGGACGGGUGAGGAAUACAUCGGAAUCUACCUUUUCGUGGGGGAUAACGUAGGGAAACUUACGCUAAUACCGCAUAAGACCUUCGGGUGAAAGCCGGGGACCUUCGGGCCUGGCGCGGAUAGAUGAGCCGAUGUCGGAUUAGCUUGUUGGCGGGGUAAAAGCCCACCAAGGCGACGAUCCGUAGCUGGUCUGAGAGGAUGAUCAGCCACACUGGGAACUGAGACACGGUCCAGACUCCUACGGGAGGCAGCAGUGGGGGAAUAGUUGGACAAUGGGCGCAAGCCUG